GAUUUGAUUUAGGAUUUAGGAUUUAUCUAUGUUCGAUUUAGAAUUUAGAAUUAUUUUAGGAUUUGAUAUAGGAUUUAGAAUUAGGAUUCAGUUUAGGAUUUAACGUUAGGAUUUGGUCUAGAAUUUGAUUUAGGAUUUAAGAUUUGUCUAGGAUUUUAUUUAGGAUUUAGGAUUAGAAUUUGGUUUAGGAUUUAAAAUUAGGAUUUGGUUUGAGAUUUGAUUUGAGAUUUAUUUUAAAAUUUAGGAUUUAUUUAGGAUUUUAUUUAAGAUUUGGAGUUUGUCUAGGAUUUGAUUUAGGAUAUAGGAUUUAGGGUUUGGUUUAGGAUCUAGGAUUUGAUUUAGGAUUUGAUUUAGGAUUUAGAGUUUUUUUGGGAUUUGAUUGAAUUCCAUUAAGGUUUCAAAUGAGAUUAAAUUAGAACUUCAUUGAAAUUUAUUUAAGUUAUAUUUGUGAUUAUUUUAAUAUUUUUUAGAACUUCUUAAGGAUUCUUUUAAGAUUUGUUGUAGAUUUUCUUUCAAUUCUUUUAAGAUAUCUUAUUAUUUUUUUUGUAAUUUCUUUAAGAUUUCUUUUGAAUUUGAUUAAAGCUUAUUUAAUAUUGUUAAGGUUUAAUUAGAAUUUAUUUAAUAUUCUAUUAAAAUUAAGAUUUUAUUGUUAUAAUUUCCAUUCUACCUUCCAUAGCUAAGUGCAUAGUGCACUGUUGAGCAAGACUUCAUGUAAUACAAUAGCGUUAAUGG
rnacentral:lncRNA from 1 species